UUGAGGAUCAGUACUGAGCAAAGUGCUUUACACAUAGUAGGAACCAACCAUCCAGCCAACCUACCACCCCACCCAUCCACCCACCCACCAACUAACUCACCAACUAACCAACUCACCAACCAACCAACCAACCAACCAACCAACCAACCAACCAGCCUACUAACCAACCAACCAACAAAUCAUCCAACCAAACAACCAACCAACCAACCCACCAAGCAAACCAUCAACCAGCUAUGUAACCCAGUCCAGGAGAGAGCUGAGCAAGAUGUCAUAUUUUUGCCAUAGUUUACUUAUUUCACUUGAGAAUUAGUUAAUUCAACAAACAUUUAUUGAGCAUCUGCUAUGAGCAGUGUCCUUUUGACUCAGUCUUACAGAUUUCUGCCAGAGAAUUUUACCUCUAUUCUGUGAUACUACUUCCCCAGGGGCAAACAGGUGCCAGACUCCCCCAGGGGCAAACAGGAAACAGGUAUCAGGUGCUCGACAGGGGAUGAUUUAAGAGUCUGGCAAUGUAGCUGUAAGAAUGUGGAUCUUUGAUUCAGAAACAAGGGAAACAAGAACUCCAGAUUCUCCAAGUUUAUGAACAAAAGAUAAACUAAUCAUGA
rnacentral:lncRNA from 10 species